GACGAACGCUGGCGGCGUGCUUAACACAUGCAAGUCGAGCGGUAAGGCCCUUUCGGGGGUACACGAGCGGCGAACGGGUGAGUAACACGUGGGUGACCUGCCCUCAGCUCUGGGAUAAGCCUGGGAAACCGGGUCUAAUACUGGAUAUGACUCCAUGACGCAUGUUGUGGGGUGGAAAGCCUUGUGCGGCUGAGGAUGGGCCCGCGGCCUAUCAGCUUGUUGGUGGGGUGANGGCCCACCAAGGCGACGACGGGUAGCCGGCCUGAGAGGGCGACCGGCCACACUGGGACUGAGACACGGCCCAGACUCCUACGGGAGGCAGCAGUGGGGAAUCUUGCGCAAUGGGCGAAAGCCUGACGCAGCGACGCCGCGUGAGGGAUGACGGCCUGG
rnacentral:rRNA from 1 species